AUAGAGACUCAGAGCUGCAUAUCAAUAAGCGGAGGAAAAGAAACUAACAAGGAUUCCCUUAGUAACGGCGAGUGAAGCGGGAAGAGCUCAAAUUUGAAAUCUUCAAGGUUUUACCUUGACGAAUUGUAGUUUAUAGAAGUGUUUUCUGUUAGAUGAGUAGCAAAAGUUCCUUGGAAUAGGACAUCAUAGAGGGUGAGAAUCCCGUAUUUGGUUAUUCAUUCUAGCGUUGUGAUACACUUUCAAAGAGUCGGAUUGUUUGGGAAUGCAGUCCAAAAUGGGUGGUAAAUUUCAUCUAAAGCUAAAUAUUGGCGAGAGACCGACAGCGAACAAGUACCGUGAGGGAAAGAUGAAAAGAACUUUGAAAAGAGAGUUAAACAGUACGUGAAAUUGUCAAAAGGGAAGCGUUUGACACCAGUGUUGUUUUCUCGAAAAUCAAUUAAGAAUGACUGGAUUUUGUGUUGUAUUGACUUUAUCAGCUUUCUUCACUCUUUUCGAAGUCUUUUUAAAUGCACUUUUCGGUUAACAAGUCAACAUCAAUUUCUUUUGUUGUAAAAGAGUCAUUGGAAGGUGGCUUUCUUUUCGGAGAAAGUGUUUAUAGCCCUUAUGCCUCUACAAUCGGAGAGAUUGAGGUCUGCAGCGUAGAUCCUUCGGGGUUAGAUACAUUUGUGCUAAGUUGUAGCUUUUCAUAGACAACUUGUUGACUAUGUUUAGUCAUUGUAGGCUUACUCGCUUAUGCUAUUUUACCUACGCUUAGGAUGUUGACGAUCAGCUGAGCGCG
rnacentral:rRNA from 1 species